rnacentral:rRNA from 1 species
CAUGAUGAACGCUAGCGACAGGCUUAACACAUGCAAGUCGAGGGGCAGCGGGGGUAGCGAUACCCGCCGGCGACCGGCGCACGGGUGAGUAACGCGUAUGCAACUUGCCUAUCAGAGGGGGAUAACCCGGCGAAAGUCGGACUAAUACCGCAUGAAGCAGGGGCCCCGCAUGGGGAUAUUUGCUAAAGAUUCAUCGCUGAUAGAUAGGCAUGCGUUCCAUUAGGCAGUUGGCGGGGUAACGGCCCACCAAACCGACGAUGGAUAGGGGUUCUGAGAGGAAGGUCCCCCACAUUGGUACUGAGACACGGACCAAACUCCUACGGGAGGCAGCAGUGAGGAAUAUUGGUCAAUGGCCGAGAGGCUGAACCAGCCAAGUCGCGUGAGGGAUGAAGGUUCUAUGGAUCGUAAACCUCUUUUAUAAGGGAAUAAAGUGCGGGACGUGUCCCGUUUUGUAUGUACCUUAUGAAUAAGGAUCGGCUAACUCCGUGCCAGCAGCCGCGGUAAUACGGAGGAUCCGAGCGUUAUCCGGAUUUAUUGGGUUUAAAGGGUGCGUAGGCGGCCUUUUAAGUCAGCGGUGAAAGUCUGUGGCUCAACCAUAGAAUUGCCGUUGAAACUGGGGGGCUUGAGUAUGUUUGAGGCAGGCGGAAUGCGUGGUGUAGCGGUGAAAUGCAUAGAUAUCACGCAGAACCCCGAUUGCGAAGGCAGCCUGCCAAGCCAUUACUGACGCUAAUGCACGAAAGCGUGGGGAUCAAACAGGAUUAGAUACCCUGGUAGUCCACGCAGUAAACGAUGAUCACUAGCUGUUUGCGAUACACUGUAAGCGGCACAGCGAAAGCGUUAAGUGAUCCACCUGGGGAGUACGCCGGCAACGGUGAAACUCAAAGGAAUUGACGGGGGCCCGCACAAGCGGAGGAACAUGUGGUUUAAUUCGAUGAUACGCGAGGAACCUUACCCGGGUUUGAACGCAUUCGGACCGAGGUGGAAACACCUUUUCUAGCAAUAGCCGUUUGCGAGGUGCUGCAUGAUUGUCGUCAGCUCGUGCCGUGAGGUGUCGGCUUAAGUGCCAUAACGAGCGCAACCCUUGCCACUAGUUACUAACAGGUAAAGCUGAGGACUCUGGUGGAACUGCCAGCGUAAGCUGCGAGGAAGGCGGGGAUGACGUCAAAUCAGCACGGCCCUUACAUCCGGGGCGACACACGUGUUACAAUGGCGUGGACAAAGGGAGGCCACCUGGCGACAGGGAGCGAAUCCCCAAACCACGUCUCAGUUCGGAUCGGAGUCUGCAACCCGACUCCGUGAAGCUGGAUUCGCUAGUAAUCGCGCAUCAGCCAUGGCGCGGUGAAUACGUUCCCGGGCCUUGUACACACCGCCCGUCAAGCCAUGGGAGCCGGGGGUACCUGAAGUCCGUAACCGAAAGGAUCGGCCUAGGGUAAAACUGGUG